rnacentral:rRNA from 1 species
AGGUUUUCGGACCUAGAGACCGGCGCACGGGUGCGUAACGCGUAUGCAAUCUACCUUUUACAGAGGGAUAGCCCAGAGAAAUUUGGAUUAAUACCUCAUAGUAUUAUUGAAUGGCAUCAUUUAAUAAUUAAAGUCACAACGGUAAAAGAUGAGCAUGCGUCCCAUUAGCUUGUUGGUAAGGUAACGGCUUACCAAGGCAACGAUGGGUAGGGGUCCUGAGAGGGAGAUCCCCCACACUGGUACUGAGACACGGACCAGACUCCUACGGGAGGCAGCAGUGAGGAAUAUUGGUCAAUGGGCGCAAGCCUGAACCAGCCAUGCCGCGUGCAGGAUGAAGCAUCUAUGGUGUGUAAACUGCUUUUGUACGAGAAGAAACACUCCUACGUGUAGGAGCUUGACGGUAUCGUAAGAAUAAGGACCGGCUAACUCCGUGCCAGCAGUCCGCGGUAAUACGGAGGGUCCAAGCGUUAUCCGGAAUCAUUGGGUUUAAAGGGUCCGUAGGCGGUUUUGUAAGUCAGUGGUGAAAGCCCAUCGCUCAACGGCGGAACGGCCAUUGAUACUGCAAGACUUGAAUUAUUGCGAAGUAACUAGAAUAUGUAGUGUAGCGGUGAAAUGCUUAGAGAUUACAUGGAAUACCAAUU